UACGUAGGGGGCAAGCGUUGUCCGGAUUUACUGGGCGUAAAGAGCGCGUAGGCGGAAGCUUAAGCGGUACCUGAAAGCCCCCCGGCUCAACCGGGGAAGGUGGCGCCGAACUGGGCUUCUUGAGGGCGAUAGAGGAAAGUGGAAUUCCGGGUGUAGCGGUGAAAUGCGUAGAUAUCCGGAGGAACACCAGUGGCGCAGGCGGCUUC
rnacentral:rRNA from 1 species